rnacentral:rRNA from 1 species
ACGGAGGAUCCAAGCGUUAUCCGGAAUCAUUGGGUUUAAAGGGUCCGUAGGCGGACUAAUAAGUCAGUGGUGAAAGUCUGCAGCUCAACUGUAGAAUUGCCAUUGAUACUGUUAGUCUUGAGUCAUUAUGAAGUGGUUAGAAUGAGUGGUGUAGCGGUGAAAUGCAUAGAUAUCACUCAGAAUACCGAUUGCGAAGGCAGAUCACUAAUAAUGUACUGACGCUGAUGGACGAAAGCGUAGGUAGCGAACAGG